rnacentral:lncRNA from 1 species
AUUACUGGUGAUUACUUUUUUAAAUAUGACCAUCCUUCAUGGCUCUCUACCCUAUAUUACUCAUGAUGUAAAAUGAGUGAACACACACGUACAAACAAACACUUGCACACACACAGAUUUUGAUGCACAGGUUUCUAAAUCCGAUGCAGGCGUCCUCGCUCCAUCCUCGGCACUACAACGGUGACCAUAUGACAACAAGCCUCCCUAUUGCCAUGGCAACAACUGCACCAUUGCUAAGGCAACAGCUGCAGAGUGCUACAACAAACAGGAAAAACCUUUGUGAAUUUAUGCUUUUUUUGUUGUUAUUUGGUCUUCAAGUCGCUCUCGUGGUGCUUCGUGUUUUCUUUUUCUGUGAUGCAGAUGUAAUUCACACUCUCCUCCUCAACACAUUUUCUUUUGGUCUAAUUCCUUCUGUCUUUAGACACACACACACACACACACACACACACACACACACACGCACGUACGCACGCACACGCACACACACACACGCACUCACCCACUCUCCCUUUCCUUUUCUCUCUCCUUCACUGUCCCCUCCCUCAGUUCUUCCUCCAUCCUCUGCUGUUUUGCUGUCUUAUUCUCUGUUUCUCUUUUUCCUUUUCUUUCCACAGUGUGAACCUCCCUCCCCCCCUUUUUUUAAUCCCCGCCACCUCUGCUUUCCAUCUCCAUCUCCCCUUCCUCCAUCUCUUUUCAUAUUCACCCCAUCUUUUCUCUUUCUUUUCUGCCGCUUCUCUCUCGCCUCGGAAAAAAACAAACGGAUAUACUCUCACCUUCCCUUUUCUCCCUCUCUUUCUCUCUCUCAUACUACAUUCUUGAGACCAGCCUCUCAGCUGUGGAAAGAAAGCUCUCUCUCUCCUCUCCUCUCUCUUUCUUCGCUCACUCUCUCUAUUUCCCUGUGGCCCUCCCCCUCCCUUUUCAUGUUUCCCCCUCCCUCCAUCCUCUCUUUCCCUCGCUGGUUCAGUUAGUCAAAGAACAGAUUCACGGAAGGAGAGAAAAGGGGGGAAAGGCAGGACGAGAGUGAGAGCGCAGGAGUGGGGCAGGCUGGGGAGA